rnacentral:rRNA from 1 species
AGAGUUUGAUCCUGGCUUAGGAUGAACGCUGGCGGCACGCCUAACACAUGCAAGUCGAACGGAGUUAUCGAAGCUUGCUUGAUAAACUAGUGGCGGACGGGUGAGUAACACGUGAGCAACCGUGCCUUUCAGAGAGGGAUAGCUUCUGGAAACGGAUGGUAAGUACCUCAUAACAUAUUGGUACGGCAUCGUAUUAAUAUCAAAGAUUUAUCGCUGAAAGAUGGGCUCGCGUCUGAUUAGCUAGUUGGUGAGGUAACGGCCCACCAAGGCAACGAUCAGUAGCCGGACUGAGAGGUUGAACGGCCACAUUGGGACUGAGACACGGCCCAGACUCCUACGGGAGGCAGCAGUGGGGAAUAUUGCACAAUGGGCGCAAGCCUGAAUGCAGCGAUGCCGCGUGAGGGAAGAAGGUUUUCGGAUUGUAAACCUCUGUCAUCGGGGACGAAAAUGACGGUACCCGAGAAGGAAGCUCCGGCUAACUACGUGCCAGCAGCAGC